AAUAGGAAUUUACAGAGUUGUAAAGCUCUAGCAGAUAUGCACUACUUUCAAGUAUCUGUGAAUGAGUGAGAGGGAGCAAGAAAGCUGGGUAGAAGAGAGGAACAAAUGGGUUUGAAAGGAUAUUGGUAAAAGCUUGGAGAUCUUUGGUGGGUGUGGGUGAUAUGCAUGCUUUUAGUUGUUUCUUUUUUCUUUUUAGUGCACAUAU
rnacentral:lncRNA from 1 species